GCCCUUAGAGUUUGAUCAUGGCUCAGGAUGAACGCUGGCGGCGUGCUUAACACAUGCAAGUCGAGCGAAGCACUUGAGUUUGAUUCUUCGGAUGAAGACUUUUGUGACUGAGCGGCGGACGGGUGAGUAACGCGUGGGUAACCUGCCUCAUACAGGGGGAUAACAGUUAGAAAUGACUGCUAAUACCGCAUAAGACCACAGGGUCGCAUGACCCGGUGGUAAAAACUCCGGUGGUAUGAGAUGGACCCGCGUCUGAUUAGCUAGUUGGUGGGGUAACGGCUCACCAAGGCGACGAUCAGUAGCCGACCUGAGAGGGUGACCGGCCACAUUGGGACUGAGACACGGCCCAAACUCCUACGGGAGGCAGCAGUGGGGAAUAUUGCACAAUGGGCGAAAGCCUGAUGCAGCGACGCCGCGUGAAGGAUGAAGUAUUUCGGUAUGUAAACUUCUAUCAGCAGGGAAGAAAAUGACGGUACCUGACUAAGAAGCCCCGGCUAACUACGUGCCAGCAGCCGCGGUAAUACGUAGGGGGCAAGCGUUAUCCGGAUUUACUGGGUGUAAAGGGAGCGUAGACGGCAUGGCAAGUCUGAAGUGAAAGCCCGGGGCUCAACCCCGGGACUGCUUUGGAAACUGUCAGGCUAGAGUGCUGGAGAGGUAAGUGGAAUUCCUAGUGUAGCGGUGAAAUGCGUAGAUAUUAGGAGGAACACCAGUGGCGAAGGCGGCUUACUGGACAGUAACUGACGUUGAGGCUCGAAAGCGUGGGGAGCAAACAGGAUUAGAUACCCUGGUAGUCCACGCCGUAAACGAUGACUACUAGGUGUCGGGUAGCAAAGCUAUUCGGUGCCGCAGCAAACGCAAUAAGUAG
rnacentral:rRNA from 1 species